rnacentral:rRNA from 1 species
GACGAACGCUGGCGGCGUGCUUAACACAUGCAAGUCGAACGGAAAGGCCCUGCUUUUGUGGGGUGCUAGAGUGGCGCACGGGUGUGUAACACGUGAGUAACCUGCCCUUGACUUUGGGAUAACUUCAGGAAACUGCGGCUACUACCGGCUAGGAGCUCCUGCUGCAUGGUGGGGGUUGGACAGUUUCGGCGGUUGGGGAUGGACUCGCGGCUUACCAGCUUGUUGGUGGGGUAGUGGCUUACCAAGGCUUUGGCGGAUAGCCGGCCUGGGAGGGUGGACGGCGACAUUGGGACUGCGAUACGGACCAGACGCCAACGGGAGGCAGCAGUGGGGAAUAUUGCACAAUGGGCGGAAGCCUGAUGCAGCAACGCCGGGUGCGGGAUGACGGCCUUCGGGUGGUAAACCGCUUUCGCCUGUGACGAAGCUUGAGUGACGGUAAUGGGUAAAGAAGCACCGGCUAACUACGUG